UCUCCGUUGGUGAACCAGCGGAGGGAUCAUUACCGAGCUUUCUAUUCCUAAAUCCCUGUUAACUUAUACCUUUACCGUUGCUUCGGCGGGUUAACGCCCCGGAAAGGCCCCCGCAAGGGACCCGCCCCGCAACCAGGCGCCCGCCGGGGGACACCAACUCCUGUAUCUUCUUAUCUAGCAUGUCCGCGUGGUAUCACUAACUAAUAACUCAAAACUACCAACCACGGAUUUCUUGCUUCUGGCAUCGACGAAGAACGCCGCAGAUCCGAAGCGCACACC
rnacentral:misc_RNA from 1 species